rnacentral:sRNA from 1 species
AGGUGUGUGAGGAGUAAGUUGAAAACAAAAAGCGCUUGGGGUGGAAACACGGUCACACUCCCAGGCGCUUUUUGCU